GCAUACGAUUAUGAACUAUAAUGCACCUAAAUGCUCCUAGAAUGUAACCUAAAUGCAACUAAAAUCUAUAUAAAAAUACAACACAUCAAACUCAUUCAAGCUAAACCAUUGCUUGUCCUCAAGCAAUUAGACAUAAGACAACCUAUACUAUGGGAUUACGAUAGGACCAAGCACAUAAUUAAGAACACGAGAGAUACAAUUACUACACGAACCAAGCAUCGAAACAUUCUCAAACAAAGCAGCAUAGCACGUCAUGUAAUGUAAUUGGAGAAUCAAUAUCAUCAAUACAAGCCAUUGGAGAAUCAAUAUCAUCAAUAUAAGCCAUUGGAGAAUUGCAUUGGAAAUCCUAUAACAUCAUACUCUAAAAAUCAAAAUACGGACGAAAGUCAUCCAUUGUUGUUUCACGUCUUCCACAUAAGCUGGAAAAAAAAUGAGCUCAACGAAAGUUUCUUUCUUUUGGGUGUUAAUGGGGGUUCGAAAAAAAGGAGGAAGAUGAAACAUGUAACAGUGGUUCUGGUGUUCUCGCUUUCAGAAUCUUGUGUCUGUCCUCGUACAAAAUGGGUAUUGAGAACUACCAUGUGCUUGAGCUUGAGCUUGUUGAUGAAGGUUCAUUGGAAGGGUCUAACAAUGGAAGGAGAAAUAUACUAGCCAAGUAAAUCUCCUCUUUCAUUUAAUUUUUCCAUUAAGGUAAUAAUUUUUGUUCCUCAUUAAAAAUGUUGGGUCUAUGGAAUUCAGAUUGUUGCUAUGAAGUUUAUUAUGAAAAAUGGGAAGAUUUUAGACAGGAGAUUGAGGUAAUCCCUGCUCUUUAAACAGGAGAUGUGUCUUGUCCCUUGUUUUUCUACUCUUUCCGACCAACUUCUUUUCUGUGACAUGCUCAUAUUGAGUCAUAGAGUUGAGCAGGAAAUUGAGUUCACUGCUACAAAGUAUAUGCUUUCACCUUGACAUGGCUUGAGAGAAGGAUACGUUGGUUUGUUAAAAUUUAAGUUGAGAUGGGGAGGACUGUUGGCUCGUAAACAAUUUUGUGCCAGUGGACUUCAUGAACAUCUUAUGUGCUUGUUGCGAGAUAGCUUUCUUGGUCAUUCCCAAUUAGAAGAUCGGGUACAGGAUCCACCGGGGAUGUCUCCUGUUGGAGACACUUGGAGUUACAUGGGCAGUUUCAUGUCUGAGUUAUUGCGUUUCAAGUGGAGCUGAAACUUUUUGACAGUUGAUGCUCGAUAAUACGUAUUUCAAGUGGAUUUGUAAUUUGGUAUCUGGUGCUCAUCUGAAGCUGCUUAAAUCUUGGGGUGGGCCUGGUGGGGGAAGUGGAUUGAGGGAUAAUAUCGCUGCAGUGAUUGAUUUUUUAGCUUUCCCUUUUGUUGCCAUUGAAAAUUCCCUUGGUUUUCCAUCAGCCACUGCAUCCAUGAAUAGUGAUUUCCUUCUAAAUGUCAGCUCACCUGGUGCAAACAUAUGUUGGGAGGACAGAGACAUUACAAAAGAAGUUAAAGAGGAAAUAAAAUCGGAGAGAGGGAGGACAAACAUUUGAGGUGCCUGCCGAUUGAAGAAUAACUUCGCUGAGGUGCAUUUGGCUCCAAGGUCAAGGGUGAAUGGUGCUAUGAUGUCUGGAUUGAUUUUACCAGGGUGAUAUUAAGGUGCAGCUGUGACCUGGGUGCUAAGGCUAGGCCUGCCUUGCGCUUUGGGCUCCAUAAACCCUGUGGCAUCAGUGCAACUUGUGCCUUCUGUGACUUUCAAACAUAUACUUGCAUGUCACUAGAACACUUGAACAAAAUAUGUCCGUGCUAUGCGCUGUUAGAGGCUCACAGCGAUUGAAUAUGUUUUGGCAGAACAUACUUGAAGUUGAGAAAUAUUUCUCUUUUUUAUUUUUAUUUUGUCUACCAUAAUGACUGCUUAUUUGUUUGAAAGUUUCAAAAUUACUUUCCGAUACAUAAAGAUAAGACCUCAUCAGCUAGUUAAAGUUCUGAGUCAUUGAAGUUGAGUCUGCAUCUGUCCUGUAGAGUAGUAUCUAACUGUUGCAGUUAGCUGGAGACGUUAUUGUUUCAUGAAUGUACUUCACAGGGUUUCUACGAGUACAUUGAGAGGGAAAAUAUACUGAUGCGGUUGAAGGAGUUUCUCACUUCUUAUGAUCCUUCUCUACGUGCAAAGGCUUGCAAUGCUGUAGGCAACAUGUGCUGGCACAGCUCUUACUUUUAUGAUUCAUUGGCAAGGCAUGGUCUCAUCAAUCUUCUCAUUGACCAAUGCACCGAUUCAGAUAAGCAUACAAAGAAAUUCGCCUGUGUUGCAGUAAGAUUUGUUAUGGAAGGCUAGUGAAGGGGAAACUCAAUCCGUGUCUAAGUAACAUAGGUGCACCAAGUAAUCUUGCUCGCCAUUCCAACAAGCUUUGUGACGCUAUUGUGUCUACUGGUGCUAUUCAGGUGCUACUUAAGGUCAUCUAUGAGUGCUCGAAGCUAUCCUCGAACUCUUCAAGAAUUAAUGAGUCUCCUUUAGAAAACGCGCUCUUUGCUUUGGCGAUGUGAACACGCAAAGGGGUAGAUGAGGGUGUGCAAGGAGCCCAACAUCACAGGGUCCCCAAAAUUAUAAAUUCCCCAAAAUAUAUUAUUUUGAAAAUUUUACUUCAUAUUUGAAGAAAUCACCCUUGUUUCCCACUCCUAAUAAAUUUGUCAAUGAUUUAUCUUUGGAUUUUCAACUUUCCAUCUUUAGAACUCUAACCUUCCAUUUUUAUUUUCUAUAAAUUAAGGGGUACAGUUUUCAUGUUAGAACCAGGGCCCCAAAAUCUUCAAGACGGCCAUGUGUGCACGCCAUCCACCACCUUGCAGGAAUAUCAUACGUUCGGCAGAGUUAUUCCAAGUGAUACCGCAGCUUCAGCAAUUUCCUGAAUCAAUUGUGGCCAAGUAUGUUCAUAUCAUAUAUAGUUCAGCUGGUGGAGCUUGAAACUUGCCAUUUACAUAGAACUAGUAGCUUCUUUUUUUGGGUAGCCUAUUAUAGGUCAAAUGUACAUCUAAUAUCAUUUGAGGUUUGGUGAGCUUUUAUGCAUAAUCACCAUAUCCUCCUACAUGGAAACA